UACGAAGGGGGCUAGCGUUGCUCGGAAUCACUGGGCGUAAAGCGCACGUAGGCGGAUUCCUAAGUCGGGGGUGAAAUCCUGGAGCUCAACUCCAGAACUGCCUUCGAUACUGGGAAUCUUGAGUCCGGAAGAGGUGAGUGGAACUGCGAGUGUAGAGGUGAAAUUCGUAGAUAUUAGGAAGAACACCGGUGGCGAAGGCGGCCCACUGGUCCGGUACUGACGCUGAGGUGCGAAAGCGUGGGGAGCAAACAGG
rnacentral:rRNA from 1 species